UACGGGGGGGGCAAGCGUUGUUCGGAAUUACUGGGCGUAAAGGGCUCGCAGGCGGCCGACUAAGUCAGACGUGAAAUCCCUUGGCUUAACCAAGGAAUGGCGUCUGAUACUGGACGGCUUGAAUCCGGGAGAGGGAUGUGGAAUUCCAGGUGUAGCGGUGAAAUGCGUAGAUAUCUGGAGGAACACCGGUGGCGAAGGCGGCAUCCUGGACCGGUAUUGACGCUGAGGAGCGAAAGCCAGGGGAGCAAAGCGGG
rnacentral:rRNA from 1 species